rnacentral:rRNA from 1 species
CUACGGGGCGCUGCAGUGGGGAAUAUUGGGCAAUGGGCGAAAGCCUGACCCAGCAACGCCGCGUGAAGGAAGAAGGCUUUCGGGUCGUAAACUUCUAUCCCAGAUGAAGAUAAUGACGGUAAUCUGGAAGGAAGCCCCGGCUAACUACGUGCCAGCAGCCGCGGUAAUACGGAGGGGGCAAGCGUUGUGCGGAAUGAUUGGGCGUAAAGGGCGCGUAGGCGGCCUUUUAAGUCCGAUGUGAAAGUCCUGCUUUUAAGGUGGGAAUUGCAUUGGAAACUGGAAGGCUUGAGUGCAGGAGAGGUAAGUGGCAUUCCCGGUGUAGCGGUGAAAUGCGUAGAGAUCGGGAGGAACACCAGUGGCGAAGGCGACUUACUGGACUGUAACUGACGCUGAGGCGCGAAAGUGUGGGGAGCAAACAGGAUUAGAUACCCUGGUAGUC